UUCCGGCAGGCAGCUGAGGGCUUCUUCUGACUCAGCAAAACCAGAGUGGUAACUGUCAAGAAGCCGCUCAAGCGGGGCUGGAAAUAAAGAUGCCGUUCCUCCGGCAUCACCCCCCACCGCCCAGACUCCUUUCACUUCCUUCCCCCUGCUGAUUGACUAACCGAAAGAGGCUGUCUAUCUCAACCCCCACGCCGCAGCUUGGACUGAAGGAGCCCAGCUAACCCUUCUUACAAGGGAUUUGUGCAGGCUCCCGCCUGAUGGGGGCAUCUCGCCUCAAGGAGGACUCCAUGGACAGCGCAGUUCAGUGUGUGCAUUUGUGUCUUUUUUUGUUUGUUUGUUUGUUUGUUUUUUGCCAUCCUGAAACAAGAUGACAUUGGGAAAUAUUGCCCCAUGGGCUUGGGGGUCCUGGAAUUUCUCACUAGGGAACAGCUUGGGAGCUGAAGCCAGCAGGCAGCUCCCAAAGCAGUUGGUUGGUUUCAUGGUACGGUUUGUAAAGAGAAAGAAGUUGCUGAUGAGGCUUGAAGGAAAAGACUGGAACGGAGCACUGAGCCCUGCGGGAUGGGGUCCAACUGGAGUCAUGCGUUCCGGUCCUCUGUGACUAUGGAAUGCCUCCGGGUCUCACACAGCCCAUCUACCUUUGAACUCAACACGUAGCAGAAGAUGAUCUCAGACUUCUCAUCCCUCUGCAUCCGAUCCUGAGUGCUAGGAUUACGGGCCUGUGCUGAGGAUGGGACUCGGGUGUAGCAGGCUGUAUUUGGGCCACCAACCAGCUCCCAAAUCAUGACAGAGACUUCUUAUUAGUUAUGAAUGUUCAGUCCUAGCUUAUGCUCGGGUUUUGGUUAGGCUUUUUCUUUUUCUUUUUUUUUUUUUUAACUUAAAUUAACCUGUCUCUUAUCAUCUAUGUUUUUGCUCAGUGCUUUUUACCUUUCUUUAUUAUUGUAUGUCCUACUUUGUGUCUGCUGGCUGGCGCUAGAUGUCUCCCAUCUUCCUGGUUCUCUUGCUUGUCUUCUACUUAUUCUCUCUGCCCUCCAGCCCUGCCUAUCCCUCUACUGCCUAUCGAUUGGCUGUUCAGCUUUUUAUUAGACCAAUCCAGUGCCCUAGGUAGGCAAGGUAAAUGCAACACAUCUGUACGUUGUUAAACAAACGCAGCAUAAACAAAUGUAACACAUCUUUACACAGUUAAAGUAAUAUUCUGCAACAUAAACAAAUGUAACACAUCUUUGCACAGUUAAAGCAAUAAAUAUUCCGCCAUAUAAACAAAUGCAACACAUCUUUACAUAGUUAAAGUCCUAUUCCAGAACACCCAGGGCUCCGAAUGGGCUUUGCUAACUGAACCACUCUCUCAACCCAGAACUGGGUUGUCUGGGAGGAAGUAAAUGACACUCAGCCUACUUCUCAGUGAGCCACGAUGGUGUCUGGUGAGCUCCGCUUUACCUGCCUGUCACGUGACCGUAGCUCAACUCUGCCUCCCCCACUUUGCACGAGAUUGGCUGGUCGUUUUACCCUCAAACUCUGGCAGCAAGCAGGAGGCCCAGGUGUGGUCACAGUCUCCCACAGCCCUGACCAGAGUGAUGCUGGGAAGUCUGUGAGACUCGGGCUGGCACAAGGGAGACAACUUCCGGAACUCCUGGGAGAAAAGGCAUCUUACAGUCAGGCUUCCAAGGGGUCCCGUGGCGGCUGUCUAUAUUACAGAGGGGAGAACUGGCCUGAAGCGCAGAUGUGGAGAGGCUGCAGGCUGUCACAGCACAGCCCCCCACACCUGCUGCCACCAAACCUGUCCCUUCCUUUGGGCCUCGGAACUAUAUUAUGGGGUAGGGCCCUUAUUUGGGGAACUGAGAGCAAGCCCAGUGAACGUGUGUGGAGCCCUGGGCUUCAGUACCACAAAACCAGUGAAUCCUAGAUGCCAUUGUGCAUGGCCCUCCCAACCCCAUCCCCUCCACCCCCAUCCCCUCACCCCCAUCCUCCAACCCCAUCCUCCCCCUCCCAUCCCACAACCCUGCACAAUGCCUGGGAGGCAUUUUUGCAGGUGUUUCUGCAAGCAGCAAUUGCUUUUGAAAGUCACAUGACACCCGGGGCAGGCCCUCCACAGGUCUCUCUGCAGAACCAGCACCCCAGAACCCAUCCAAAAGGAGGACAGAAAAGUAGACUUGGGGUGGGGCGUGGGGAGCUAGACACCGCUCAGAGUUAAGAGCGCUUCCUGCUCUUGCAGAGGACCCAAGCUUGAUGCUCAACACUUAAAGUGGGCAGCUCACAACCUCCUCUAACUCCAACUCCAGGGGAUCUGGGUACCUUCUCGUAGCCUCCUUGGGCUACCACACACAUGUGGCAUACACAAACACCACACACACACACACACACACACACACACACACACACACACACACACACACAAACUUAAAAAAAAAGAAACCUAAAAAAAAGCAACCUUGAGGCUAUAAGGUUUCCGAGUCUCUGGGCUCUAAGGGAGGCCUGUGCCUGUGCCCUGGCCUGUGCCCAUAUACUUUUGGUUCCUGUUACUUCUGUGCCCCAACUCCUUAAAUGGAGUGACUGGUCUCAUGUGCUCACAGCCCCCAGGACAGGCUGGGUUUGGCACCUGCUCCUGCACCAGCAGAUCCUUCUGCUGACACCCUCCCCACUCAGGCUCCUGUUCCUCUAUGGUCACCAGUAGAUCAAAUGUCACUCCUGUGUCUCCCUCCAUGACCACAUGCCCUUGUCACCAGGAACUUUCCCCCUUUGCAGAUUUCGGAACCCACUUGAGCACGCUCCCAGGGGUCUGUUUCCAUCCACACUGCGCAUUUCCCGCCUGCUCAAGGUCCCUCGGUGUCUCUGUGCUGGAUGGCUUUUACUUUCGUCCGCUCUUAACCACGUCUCGAUGCCUCCUGUGGGCAGUGACCCUGGCAUCUUCAAGAGAAAUCCUUCCAGCCCACUUUUCCCGGACUGGGAAACAGUGUUACUCUGAGUGGAAUUAAAAGCCAGCAUCCAUGAACGAGCUGUCCAUCUCCAUGU